rnacentral:rRNA from 4 species
GUAACGCGUGGGUAACCUGCCCUGUGCACACGGAUAACAUACCAUUAGGUAUGCUAAUACGAKAUGAUAUAUUUUUAUCGCAUGAUAAAAAUAUCAAAGCUUUUGCGGUACAGGAUGGACCCGCGUCUGAUUAGCUAGUUGGUACAGUAACGGCUUACCAAGGCGACGAUCAGUAGCCGACCUGAGAGGGUGAUCGGGCACACUGGAACUGAGACACGGUCCAGACUCCUACGGGAGGCAGCAGUGGGGAAUAUUGCACAAUGGGCGAAAGCCUGAUGCAGCAACGCCGCGUGAGCGAACUAGGUCUUCGGGUCGUAAAGCUCUGUCCUCAAGGAAGAUAAUGACGGUACUUGAGGAUGAACCCCCGGCUAACUACGUGCCAGCAGCCGCGGUAAUACGUAUUUUGCUAGCGUUAUCCGGAAUUACUGGGCGUAAAGGGUGCGUAGGCGGUCUUUCAAGCCAGAAGUGAAAGGCUACGGCUCAACCGUAGUAAGCUUUUGGAACUGUAGGACUUGAGUGCAGGAGAGGAGAGUGGAAUUCCUAGUGUAGCGGUGAAAUGCGUAGAUAUUAGGAGGAACACCAGUAGCGAAGGCGGCUCUCUGGACUGUAACUGACGCUGAGGCACGUCAGCGUGGGGAGCAAACAGGAUUAGAUACCCUGGUAGUCC